UGCUCUUUGCGAUCUGGGCUCUGCUCAUGUGACUGUCUGUUUCCUAAACUGGGAAACAGUAGACGGAUAGCUAGCACAACGAAUUAGCGCCAUGCAAGAAAUUAUGUUGAAAUAGCUUUUCCAGAGGAUAUGAAUGUAAUCAAUCGCAAGUAUAAUAAGAUUGUUAUUUGUCAAUCAUAUUGGUAAAUGCAUGAAUGUGUCAAAGCGAAGUGUAGCCAGUACUCCCCGUACAUUUUUGCUUGCUAGCGAAUCAGCUAGCUAGUCUCAGCUAGCUUUAGUUGGUCCGCCUACGAUGACAAAUUUCAACAGAAAUACAAUAAAUAAAGCCUCUGCAUGGCGAGCUAGCAGCAGCAGAAGUGACUCUCCCUAGAGCAGGCAGAGAGCAGUGGUGUGGCCCCGGCCUGUACAGGAGGAGAACCAUGGCCUCUCGUCAUCAAAGGAACUCUGUGCGGAUCCUGUCCACCCGGGAGCGCGGCUCGCAGGCCUUUGGCUCCCAGCGCCUCCUGCAGCAGAUGGUGGAGGAGAAGGUCCGCUGGAUGAAAUGGCAGAGUCAGAAAGUAGAGCUGCCAGAUAGCCCUCGCUCCACGUUCCUGUUGGCCUUCAGCCCAGACCGGACCCUCAUGGCUUCCACUCACGUCAACCACAACAUCUACAUCACGGAGGUGAAGACUGGAAAGUGCCUGCAUUCGCUGGUGGGCCACCGCCGCACACCCUGGUGUGUGACCUUUCACCCCACCAUCCCUGGCCUGGUGGCCUCCGGGUGCCUUGACGGAGAGGUCCGCAUCUGGGACCUGCAUGGUGGCAGUGAGAGCUGGUUCACAGAGAGCAACGUUGCCAUUGCCUCGCUUACCUUUCACCCCACCGCCCAGCUCCUCCUCAUCGCCACCAACAAUGAGCUACACUUCUGGGACUGGAGUCGGCCCGAGCCCUUCGCCGUGGUGAAAACCGGCAGCGAGACUGAAAGAGUCAGGUUGGUGAGGUUUGAUCCUUUGGGGCACAAUCUUCUGACGGCUAUUGUGAACCCCUCCAACCAGCAGAAUGAUGAUGACUCCGAGGUCCCCAUGGACAGUGUGGAGAUGCCCCACUUCCGCCAGCGCUCCUUCCUGCCCUCCCAGCCUGUACGCCGCACGCCAAUCCUCCACAACUUCCUGCACAUCCUGUCAUCGCGCUCGUCCGGUGCGCAGGCUGGGGGUGAUGUGUCCCGCCCUGGCGGGGAGGGCAGCGGCGAGCCCCCCAGUAUGCCUUUGGGCCAGUACCCAGCCUCGCAGGACCGUGGACUGCCCUACCCAGGCUGCACCCAGCACCUGGGCAUGGUGUGCCUCUGCAGCCGCUGCAUGGCCAACCGCAGCCCCUCUCUGGGGGAGAGUCCCUCCACCUCCAGGCCUGUUGUCCACCCCGAGCUUCCCCAGGUGGCCUCUCAGCCAGCCCCCCACGCCUCCACCUUUUCGGCCCGUACGGAGCCCCGGCAGCCUUCAGAGCCCACUGGAGCCCAGCAGCGGCCCUCGGCCUUCACCACAGUCUACUACAGUGCCGGCAGCUCCCUGCACCGCGCCGUGCCUACCAGCCACGUGGCCAGCCAGCCCCUGAGCCAGCAGCUGUUGCCCCCGCCCACCAUCCACCAACACCAACCCCCAUCCCGCCCUCUGCCCGGACCUGACUGGACACGCAGCCUGCUAAACAUGAGAAGCUCAGAGAGCGGGGUCGGAAGUGGGGGGAGCAGUGGAGGGGGUAUGGGUGGUGUUGGGGGUGGGAUGCUGCCCCCUCGGACCAGCUCGUCCUCUGUCAGCCUGCUGUCAGUGCUGCGGCAGCAAGACGGCUCCUCCCAGUCCCCCGUCUACACCUCCGCCACCGAGGGACGAGGCUUCCCCCCGCAGCCGGGCGCCGAACUUGGCUCCAGCCCUGUGGCCAAUCAGAGAGGAGGAAGUGGUGGUGGAGGAGGAGGGGUGGGCUCCAGCAGUGGGCACCACCCUUUCUGGGAUGGCACGCGCAGCAACCCGGCCUCGUUCCGCAAUGUGCUCCAGUGCAAUCUUAGCCGCUACUUCAUGGAGUUCGACCGCAUGCAGGACCUGGAGUUACCGCUGGGGGCCGCCAGCGUGGAUGUCGGGGGAGGGGAGGGCGGCCAGGAGCAGAUGCAGGAGCUGCUCAACAACAACAUAGACCCAGAGAGACCCGGGCCCUCCGUGUCCUCCCACUACCAGCCCCAGCCACCCCCACCUGCCCCUACUGAGAACAACCCCCCUCCCUUCUCUAGCGCCGCCCACUCCUCCCGAGGCCACCUGAACCGCUGCCGGGCCUGCCACAACCUGCUCACCUUCAACCACGACUCCCAACGCUGGGAGCGCACCAGCCCAGCCUCCUCUACCUCCGCUGUCUCCACUCAGGAGGGCUCCAGCUCUCCCUGGCGGCAGCCCCCCAGCCCUGCCUAUGAGGAGCCCCAUGCAUCAUCACGGAGCCGGGAUCCACACCCCCAUCCCCAAGAGAGGGAGAGGAGGGUAGUCCAACCCCCUGAGCCCAGCGAGCUACAGCCCUCCCCAGGCCCUCACGUUGCGGCCAUGCCCUUCCCCACCAUUGCGUCGUCCUCUGCCCAGCCCGGGGAGCAGACAGUGGGCCUGGUGUUCAACCAGGAGACAGGCCAGUGGGAGCGCGUCUAUCGCCAGGCCACCUCCAGCCGCUCUGCCGAUGCACCACCAGAGGCCUUAAGCCAGGAAAUGCCUGUGGAUAACCCGGAUGAGGAUUCUCUGAGAAGAAGGCUGUUGGAGUCCUCCCUCCUCUCUCUCUCCCGCUACGACAUGGGAGGAUCCCGAGAACACCCUAUCUACCCAGACCCCGCCAGGUUGUCCCCGGCUGCGUACUAUGCCCAGAGGAUGAUCCAGUACCUGUCAAGGCGGGAUAGUAUUCGCCAGCGCUCGCUGCGCUACCAGCAGAACCGGCUGAGGACACUCUCCUCCUCGUCGGACAGCCCUGCCGGCAACCCCUCGGCCGCCAUUGAGAACAGCGACGUGGACUUUGAGGAGCUAGAUGAUAACGGCGACAGGACGAGGCACAGAACACCGCGCAAUGCCAGGAUGUCUGCUCCUUCGCUGGGGCGCUUCGUUCCCCGGCGCUUCCUGUUGCCUGAGUAUCUGCCCUACGCUGGGAUCUUCCACGAGAGGGGACAGCCUGGCCUUGCCACUCACUCCUCUGUCAACAGGGUCUUAGCAGGUGCCUCCAUCGGGGACGGCCAGUCGGCGGUGGCUAGUAACAUAGCCAACACCACCUACCGGCUGCAGUGGUGGGACUUCACCAAAUUUGACCUGCCUGAGAUCAGCAACGCCUCUGUGAAUGUGCUGGUGCCAAACUGUAAGAUAUACAACGACGCCAGUUGUGACAUCUCAGCGGACGGGCAGCUCCUGGCCGUGUUCAUACCCAGCAGCCAGCGGGGCUUCCCCGACGAGGGCAUCCUGGCCGUGUACUCCCUGGCCCCUCACAACCUGGGGGAGAUGCUCUAUACCAAGAGAUUUGGUCCCAAUGCCAUCUCGGUGAGCCUGUCUCCCAUGGGCUGCUACGUGAUGGUGGGCCUAGCAUCUCGCAGGAUCCUGCUACAUCCCUCCACUGACCACAUGGUGGCGCAAGUGUUCCGGCUGCAGCAGCCCCACGGCGGCGAGACCUCCAUCAGGAUGGUGUUUAACGUGGUGUACCCCAUGGCUCCGGACCAGCGGCGGCACGUCAGCAUCAAUUCAGCCAGAUGGCUUCCAGACCCGGGGAUGGGCCUGGCCUACGGGACCAACAAAGGGGACUUGGUCAUCUGCAGGCCCGUGUUGUACCGGAGUGACGGAGAGAGCCCGGCCGAAGCGAGCACCGAGCCCAUAUUCACAGUCAACAACAGCGGUGGUGGAACCAGCAGGACCCGCGGUACAGAUAGACCAGGGGCCCCCAGUCGCUCCAGCUGGAGACUUGACAGAGACAUGGGUCUGAUGAACGCCAUUGGCCUCCAGCCCCGACACCCCGCCCCCUCGGUGACCUCACAGGGCACUCAGACGCACAUGGUGCAGCUGCAGAACGCCGAGACGCAGACAGAGAUGGACCUCUACGGGCCCAGCACCUCCCAUGCUGCUGCUUAUGUAGAAGCCCGUCAAGAGGUCCCGUCCACAAGCCGUGAGACUCAGGGAGGUCUGGAGCAGCCACAAACCAGGCGGACCGAGGCCAGUACCAUGGGGGACUCUUCAACAGAAGCCGGCACCUCCACAGCCAACACCGGUGGAGCUGUGAUGUCAAUGGGGAGCCAUUGUGAGUUCUUGGAAGUUUCUUCUUCAAUCUUGGAGAACACCUACUACUGAAAACGAAAGUGUCUCCGUCUCAUCAUUUUACCCUAUUAAUUCAGGUAUGUAUUGUGCAAAAGUGUAAUAUGACUUUCAAAAUAUUGAGGUAGCAUGGUAAACUACAUAGUCCAUGAGUUUGGUGAUGUUUGAAGACAAUAGAAGGGAGUUUUAACCGAGUGAAAAACUGGUUGGUAUGUUCCCCAUUGUAAGUAAUGGAGGUUGGCUAGGUUACUAACAGUUUACAUGUAAGAGAAGGGAUUAAGAUGGUGUCUGAACUUUCUGUCAUUUAUUUCAACAAUGUUCUAAAUCCUAUUUGUUUUAUUUUCUAUGGACAAAGGCUCAGUUUAGUUCAGGUAAUUAUGUAAAUAUUGGAUGUCUUGAUAAAAUCUGUUAGUGUUAAUAUUUGUAUGAAAAUAGCAUUUAACAGUUCGCUAGCUUGAUGCUUUGCAAAGUUAGAUCUCUUUGCACACAACAGCAGUAUCCAGUCCUCCAGAGUACUCACCCUAUCGCCUUCUGUACGGACGGGAGCCGCAGCUGUCUACUGAGGUAAACAAUGCAAUUGUAUAUACAAUUAUUGCAUAUACUGUAGUAUUAAACAUUUCCGAUUGACUUAGUGUUGUCUAUUGCUAUUUUUGUAUCAUGUACUUUGAGAUCACUGAAACGCCACCUGAUGUCGUGGAAGUUGUCAAACCAGAUCAGAACACCUUCGAGGACCACCUUCAGGCACGGGCUGAGAAGGAUCUGGAGGAAUUUGACCAGGAAAAAGGAUUGUCCGCUGUUCAUUUAUUUUCAGGCCCUCCAAGAGAUAUGUAAGAGAUGUAUUUUUAAUAAGAUGAAAUAUAAUUGUAUUUAUUUCUAGUGUCAAUGAAGGUGAGACUGAACAUGGACAAGGUGCAGGAGAAACAGAAGGAAAACCACCAGAGGAGAAUCAAGAAGAGGACCAAGUGCUUCGACAUCCGGUCGAAUUACUUGGCUUGGAAGAAGGAUGAAAGGAAGGCGAGACCUUGCUGCUCUUUCGCUCCUAGCUGGGGUCACGAUCCGUUCAGGGACCAUCCCACACCUCCCUCAUCAACCCCACUGACAUAAAAAAAAAAUACAGACAGGACCUAGGGGUUCUGCCCAACACCCAGACGUGGAUCCACCUGAUGUCCUCCAUUACCAACUACCCUCCAACUUUUCAUUACAUCAUCUGUUAUUGUCAUGUUGUCAUUAUCUGUUGAGAAAUAGCAAGAAAACGAUCAUAUUCGGAACAUAAUGUGAGAUACACAGAUUAGCUAAAAACACUAGCACUCAGAACAAAGAGAGCAGCAGUGCAUGGACUUCAGUCUCCCUCCUUUUGUUGAGAACAAGUGACAGGUUCCCACCCACAUAGCACCCACCUCCGCUCUAUUCCACACACCAGAAUUCAGUAUUUCAGUCUAUGAUUGCCAUGUGAGGACAAAAAAUCUAAGUUUUAAAUAUAUAAUCGUAAAUAUUGCCAGGUUGGUUUUCAGAGCUUGUUCAUUGUUGAAAAUUGUAAUGUAUCCCUUGAUGGUAUUUGUUAGUUCAACAUUAUUCAUUGUUGUAUCAUAGGACCUACAAUAGAUAUACAUUCAACCACAAGGGUGUACUAAUGAACUAUAUAAACUCAGCAAAAAAAGAAAUGUCCUCUCACUCUCAACUGCGUUUAUUUUCAGCAAACUUAACAUGUGUAAAUAUCUGUAUGAACAUAACAAGAUUCAACAACUGAGACAUAAGUUCCACAGACAUGUGACUAAUAGAACUGGAACAAUGUGUCCCUGAACAAAGAGGGGGUCAAAAUCAAAGUAACAGUCAGUAUCUGGUGUGGCCACCAGCUGCAUUAAAUAUUGCAGUACAUCUCCUUCUCAUGGACUGCACCAGAUUUGCCAGUUCUUGCUGUGAGAUUUCCCCCCACUCUUCCACCAAGGCACCUGCAAGUUCCCGGACAUUUCUGGAGGAAAUUGCCCUAGCCCUCACCCUCCGAUCAAACAGGUCCCAGACGUGCUCAAUGGGAUUGAGAUCCGGGCUCUUCGCUGGCCAUGGUAGAACACUGACAUUCCUGUCUUGCAGGAAAUCACGCACAGAAUGAGCAGUAUGGCUGGCGGCAUUGUCAUGCUGGAGGGUCAUGUCAGGAUGAGCCUGCAGGAAGGGUACUACAUGAAGGAGGAGGAUGUCUUCCCUGUAACGCACAGCGUUGAGAUUGCCUGCAAUGACAACAAGCUCAGUCUGAUGAUGCUGUGACACACCACCCCAGACCAUGACGGAUCCUCCACCUCCAAAUCGAUCCCGCUCCAGAGUACAGGCCUCGGUGUAAAGCUCAUUCCUUCAACGAUAAAAACGAAUUCGACCAUCACCCAUGGUGAGACAAAACCGCGACUCGUCAGUGAAGAGCACUUUUUGCCAGUCCUGUCUGGUCCAGCGACGGUGGGUUUGUGCCCAUAGGCCGGGGAUGUUGCCGGGGAUGUCUGGUGAGCCCUCAGUCCAGCCUCUCUCAGCCUAUUGCGGACAGUCUGAGCACUGAUGGAGGGAUUGUGCGUUCCUGGUGUAACUCAGUUGUUGUUGCCAUCCUGUACCUGUCCCGCAGGUGAGAUGUUCGGAUGUACCGAUCCUGUGCAGGUGUUGUUACACGUGGUCUGCCACUGCAAGGACAAUCAGCUGUCCGUCCUGUCUCCCUGUAGUGCUGUCUUAGGCGUCUCACAGUACGGACAUUGUGUAAAUCAGCUAGAAAGAUGUGUCGGCAUCAAGUAAUUGUCUCUGGCCCCCUCCCAGUUAGGGGGAGUGAUGAGCUGUACAGCAGAGUCUCAAAACUCAAUCGCUGGUUGAAAACUGUUUCCUGCCCCUACCAAAAGAUAGGAUUUGUAGAUAAUUGGUCCUCUUUCUGGGACUCACCCACAAACAGGACCAAGCCUGGCUUGUUGAGGAGUGACUGACUCCAUCCUAGCUGGAGGGGUGCUCUCAUCUUAUCUACGAACAUAGACAGGGCUCUAACUCCCCUAGCUCCACAAUGAGAUAGGUUGCAGGCCAGGCAGCAGGCUGUUAGCCAGCAUGCCAGCUUAGUGUAGUCUGCCACUAGCACAGUCAGUGUAGUCAGCUCAGCAAUCCCCAUUGAGACCGUGUCUGUGCCUCGAUCUAGGUUGGGCAAAACUAAACAUGACGGUGGUUGCCUUAGCAAUCUCACUGGAAUAAAGACCGCCUCCAUUUCUGCCAUUAUUGAAAGAGAUUAUGAUAUCUCACAUCUCAAAAUAGGGCUACUUAAUGUUAGAUCCCUCACUUCCAAAGGCAGUUAUAGUCAAUGAACAAAUCACUGAUCAUAAUCUUGAUUUGAUUGGCCUGACUGAAACAUGGCUUAAGCCUGAUGAAUUUACUGUGUUAAAUGAGGCCUCACCUCCUGGUUACACUAGUGACCAUAUCCCCCGCGCAUCCCGCGAAGGUGGAUGUGUUGCUAACAUUUAUGAUAGCAAAUUUCAAUUUACAAAAAGAAAAAUUACUACGUUUUCGUCUUUUGAGCUUCUAGUCAUGAAAUCUAUGCAGCCUACUCAAUCACUUUUUUUAGCUACUGUUUACAGGCCUCCUGGGCCAUAUACAGCGUUCCUCACUGAGUUCCCUGAAUGCCUAUCGGACCUUGUAAUCAUGGCAGAUAAUAUUAUAAUUUUUGGUGACUUUAAUAUUCACAUGGAAAAGUCCACAGACCCACUCCAAAAGGCUUUCGGAGUCAUCAUCGACUCAGUGGGUUUUGUCCAACAUGUCUCUGGACCUACUCACUGCCACAGUCAUACUCUGGACCUAGGUUUAUCCUGUGGAAUAAAUGUUGUGGAUCUUAAUGUUUUUCCUCAUAAUCCUGGACUAUCGGACCACCAUUUUAUUACGUUUGCAAUCGCAACAAAUAAUCUGCUCAGACCCCAACCAAGGAUAAUCAAAAGCCGUGCUAUAAAUUCUCAGACAAACCAAAGAUUCCUAGAUGCCCUUCCAGACUCCCUCCACCUACCCGAGGACGUCAGAGUACAAAAAUCAGUUAACCACCUAACUGAGGAACUCAAUUUAACCUUGCGCAAUACCCUAGAUGCAGUCGCACCCCUAAAACAAAAAACGUUGUCAUAAGAAACUAGCUCCCUGGUAUACAGAAAAUACCCGAGCUCUGAAGCAAGCUUCCAGAAAAUUGGAACGGAAAUGGCGCUACACCAAACUGGAAGUCUUCCGACUAGCUUGGAAAGUCAGUACCGUGGAGUUUCGAAGAGCCCUCACUGCUGCUCGAUCAUCCUAUUUUCCCAACUUAUUUGAGGAAAAUAAGAACAAUCCUAAAUGUAUUUUUGAUACUGUCGCAAAGCAAACUAAAAAGCAGCAAUCCCCAAGAGAGGAUUGCUUUCACUCCAGAAGUGCUAAAUUCAUAUACUACUUUGAAGAAAAGAUCAUGAUCAUUAGAAAGCAAAUUACGGACUCCGCUUUAAAUCUGUGUAUUCCUCCAAUGAUCAGUUGUACUGAGUCUGCACAACUCUGCCAGGACCUAGGAUCAAGGGAGACACUCAAGUUGUUUAGUACUAUAUCUCUUGACACAUUGAUGAAAAUAAUCAUGGCCUCUAAACCUUCAAGCUGCAUACUGGACCCUAUUCCAACUAAACUACUGAAAGAGCUGCUUCCUGUGCUUGGCCCUCCUAUGUUGAACAUAAUAAAUGGCUCCCUAUCCACCGGAUGUGUACCAAACUCACUAAAAGUGGCAGUAAUAAAGCCUCUCUUGAAAAAGCCAAACCUUGACCCAGAAAAUAUAAAAAACUACACUAGUAGUUUUUUAUAUAUCGAAUCUCCCAUCCUAUAUCGAAUCUCCCAUUCCUCUCAAAAAUGUUAGAAAAAGCUGUUGCAUAGCAACUCACUGCCUUCCUGAAGACAAACAAUGUUUAUGAAACGCUUCAGUCUGGUUUUAGACCCCAUCAUAUCACUGAGACUGCACUUGUGAAGGUGGUAAAUUACAUUUUAAUGGUGUCAGACAGAGGCUCUGCAUCUGUCUUCGUGCUCCUAGAUCUUAGUGCUGCUUUUGAUACCAUUGAUCACCACAUUCUUUUGGAGAGAUUGGAAGCCCAAAUUGGUAUAGGAAAAUAGGAAAACAUUAAAAGAUUAUCAAUAGUGUCACGUUCCUGACCUAUUUCUGUUAGUUUGUUGUAUGUGUUAGUUGGUCAGGACGUGAGGUUGGGUGGGCAUUCUAUGUUUUCUGUUUCUGUGUUGGUUUUGGGUUGCCUGGUAUGGCUCUUAAUUAGAGGCAGGUGUUUGGCGUUCCUCUAACUAGGAGUCAUAUUUAGGUAGGCGUUGUCACAGUGUUCGUUGUGGGUGAUUGUCUUCCGUGUCUGUGUAUAUGUUUGCACCAUACGGGACUGUUUACGGUUUGUUCGGUUUGUGUAGCCUAUGUUCCUAUUCGUGCGUUUUUUCUUGUUUUAUGUAAGUACGUCGUCUAGGUCUGUCUACACCGUUUGUUGUUUUUGUUAGUUUAAUCAAGUUCGUGUUUCGUUAAUAAAAUAUGUCUUUUCACUACGCUGCGCCUUGGUU